rnacentral:rRNA from 1 species
AUGUCUUCCUCCAACCAAAUCGUCUCCCCCGGCCUCAACUACACAACCUCAGAACCCCUUACCAGAACCAACUAUGUUCUCUGGCGAGCCCAAGAUCGCUCCCAGAUCAUGGGGGCAGGGCUAUAUGGGUAUAUCGAUCAAACAACCCCCAAGCCAUCCAAAACCAUAGUCACAAAAACCACCGAUGGGAAAGAUCAGAUCGCUCCCAAUCCUGCCUACAAACCUUGGCUAGUCCAAGAUCAGCAAAUAGUGGCCUACCUGCUCCGAAACCUCUAAAAAUAAGUCCUGAUUCAGGUUGCCUCCCUAGAAACAUCACAUGCCAUAUGGUCUGCCCUCGCAAACAUGUUCGUUGCACAAUCUAGGUCUCGCAUCAACAACUGCCCCUUGCUCUUUCCAAUGCCCAAAAGGGAACCCAGUCUGCCGCUACCUUCUUUGGCCACAUGCGAUCUCUCUCAAAUGAGUUAG